CCAAGAUCACCUAGUCCAACCUCUGACCUAACACUAACAAGUCCUCCACUAAACCAUAUCACUAAGAUCAACAUCUAAACGUCUUUUAAAGACCUCCAGGGAUGGUGACUCAACCACUUCCCUGGGCAGCCCAUUCCAAUGACUAACAACCCUUUCUGUAAAGAAAUUUCUUCCUAAUAUCCAACCUAAACCUCC